rnacentral:lncRNA from 1 species
ACCGAUUAAAUUCAGUUUUACUUCGAUUAAGUUACUCUUUGAUGAAAUAUCUUUCAUUUGAACCGAUUAAAAUGCGUUUUCGUUGCGUUUUGGUGCAGUUUGCGACGUGUUCUUGGGCGACGUUUUUAACCCUUUUUUGCCUACAUUUUUGGGCGUGCAGUCCUUCAUUUCCCUCCAUUGCUGUUUUAAUUUGCUAAAAAGGUUAGCUUCUUUGUUGAAAACUUUUAUUGUAUGUGUGUUAUUGUCUUUUGUGUAUGCAUGUUAUUGGCUUUUGCGUUUGCAUGUUUUUGGCUUUUAGGUAUGCAUGUGUUAUCGGCU